CAGGGAACUAAACUUGUCUUACUGGUUUGGCCCUCAUGAAAACUAAAGAGGAAACUUGCUGCAACAUCAUUAAAAAGCCCAGGCAGGCCAUGGCUGAACUCUGGCAGUGUGGGAGCAAGAGCGGCUGGGACUCUCUGCUUUCCUUGUCAUCACCACAUAAAAACAAGGGAGCACUCGAGGGAGGUCCAGUGGGUACCAGGAAGGGCCUCUUUGCUAAAACAAAAAGAAGGGGAGUGAAGGCAGUCAAGGCACCACUCACGGAACUCAUCACAGAAGUCACAGUGCACAUUUGGUGCCUACCAUAAAAGGAACUUGGGCAAACCAGGCUUACAAACUCAAUCAACACCCAAUAAUCGACACAAAAUGAAUCUGCAUGGCAGAUUAUCUGCUCAGGGGUCUGAGAUGUAGAUCUCAUCUGAGCGAAGACUCAGCCAGAUGUGAACUCCACCGGAUCUGUAGUCUGAUAAAAGCAACCAGCCCCAGGAUCAGGCAACAGUGAUGUCAGAACCAUUCACUGCAUUCCAGCUUGGCAAUGCUGGGUGGAUGAAUUGGUCUCUGUUAGAUGGUGCAGGAGAGUUGAGAGGGGAGAGAAAAAGCAGCAGCAACUACUGGGCUUCAUGAAGUUGGAAUUUUGUUAAGUUGGAAGUUUAGGAGGAGGAUGAUGAUUGGUCAAAUAAUUAGAUUCAUGGCUGUGGGAAGAGUCAGCUCUUCCAUUGUUUCUUCAAACCAAUAUCCCCCCACCCACACUUCCACAUGAGGGUGAGGGACGGUUUCCAGAGACUACUUUGCUCAGGGGGUUUUCUACAGGGACAGGUCUUUCUAUUUUCAGACAGCCUAUUUUCAUGGCUUUAAAACCACCCAGCCAUGUUAGACUAGGUAAACCACUUUUUGAAAAGUAGACCCACUAAGACACUGAAUUGAGCCAAACACCUUGGAGUCCACUGAUAAAAAGAAAAUGUCCAAAUCUUACUAAGUUGUAGAGCUGUGGGCAUCACACUUCCUUUGUCUGUGUCACAAGCCACUCAUUCCCCUUCUUAAUGAAAACAAGAGGGAGUGAGUAUACCUCCUGGGGCUGUGCCAUUUGUGCCGUCUGAAAGGCACUUAAAUGAGUGGCACAUUAUCUCACACAUCUGGAGUUUACCAAAUUAGCCAAUUAUGCUCGAGCUCAUAAAACGAGGCCUUAAAUGUCAUUUAACUAGAAAAUAUUAUAAUCACCAAGUGGUCUGAUUGUAAGAUGAUACCUGGGGCAGCAUCAGUGGUUACAGAAAACAAAUCGUGAAACUAAACACAGUUCAAAUGCCCCCCAAAUGCAACCACAUAUUUUCUACAGCAAUACUUUCUGAAGAAUACCAUAUUUCUGAAGGCACCAGCAAUCAACAUGUUUCUCAUUUGAAGCUAAGCUUAAUCUGACCUAGUUGUUUCCUAGUUAUUUGCCUUGAGCAAACCAAUGCCCAAGAAUUUUUCACAUAAGAGAGCUAAGGAACAAACAGGAUGAAAAUCGACUGACUGAAAACCAUGAACUUAUCAGAAAUACAGAGCUAAUUAUAAAGGAUGGGGCAAUGAUUAGAUUGAGUCUUGAGUUGCCAGAGCUUUGUAGUGCUGCCUCAGAAUCACCAAGAUUUGCUUGACUGAACAUAUACUAGUCUCAGAGCUUUCAUACAUUACUUGAAGGAGGAUAUAAAGCUGCUUUAAGUCGCUGUGUGAUUUGAGGCUAGGAAUAUCAAAGACUUCAGAAUAGCCAUUUAAAGAUUAGCCAUUCACAGCCAUUAUUUCCAUAUUAUCUUCUUUCCAGCCAAUAAAUAACAAAAUUUGAUCCUCAGUGGAAGAUCAAAUACAGUCUAACGGAGAAACCAUGGUUAUACCUGCGUGGCUUUGGGAAGAAUGGCCAUUCAAGCACUUUCAGAGGAGGCAGAGUGGUAGAUGGGAAGACUGUUCUGGGUUUACAACGACAUAAUGUAUAGUCCCCUCACCCACCUGUGAACAUUUCAAUCACUCUUUUUAAAGGAAUAACAAGUACAAAAGAGACUAGGCCAACUUUCAUAAGAUGCUCUGAGAUAAAGGGGAAGUGAGGCGUGAUGCAUGGACACAUGGUAAAUAGAGAUAUCUGCCACUGUUUGCCAGAUACACCUUACGAGACACAUCUCACAUCAAGACUGUAUCACUCACAAGAUGGAAGCAGAGGGUUCCAAAGCCCUAGUGGGUGCAGAGACACAGAUGGGAGAAGCCUGGAUCCCUAAAUCGCACACUGAGGAAAACCGGCUACCAUCCAGGAAAACCUGUGUUGUACUAUUGUAGAAGUGACUCUACUUCUACGGGUUAAAUUGCUGAAACUUAAGGAUUUUUUGUUACUGUAUUGGGUGUGCCUUAACUGAUACAAGGAUUGGGAUUGUACUGUGACUCUGCCUCUCUAUGAGUCCUCUUUAAAGAUGGUUCCUCCUGGUCCUCGUUCUUCCUGCUCCCUCAUCACACUGACUUUGAUAGACUGAUGCCAAGUCUUGGUGUACUAUGAUGCAAACCUAGUGACCAUCACUUACUCCUUUCUGUACCACGUGUGCCAAAUAUCUUUCAUCAGCUCUUCCAGAUCCACUCUCUACCCCUUUCUUUGUUUUGUUUAUUUGCUUAAGAGGGUCUCACUAUGUUCCCCAGGUUGGAGUGGAGUGGUGAAAUCUCACCUCACUGCAACCUCCACCUCAUGGGCUCAAACGAUUCUCAUGCUUCAUCUGCCUGAGUAGCUGGGACUACAGACACCCACCACACCUGGCUAAUUUUUUUAGUUUAGUAGAGAUGGGGUUUUACCAUGUUGGCCAGGCUGGUCUUGAACUCCCGAACUCAAGUGAUCCACCCACCUCUCCCUCCCAAGGUGCUGGGAUUACAGAUGUGAGCCACCGCACCUGGUCACUCUCUACCCAUUUCUACUCUGUUCCUUCCCCUGAGAGGUGAUUUGAAUUGAUUGCCUCAAAAGACUCCUGUGUUAUCCUACUUCCAGCUGAAUUUGGUUAAUGAAGAUCCCUGGCAGGUGACAAGAGGCAGGAGAAUGGGUUUGGCAUAUUUAUUCAUCUGGUUCCUUCCCGCAAGGCUUCCUCAGGCUUGCUGGUUCUGUCAACAGGAGUUCACUGUUCCCAUCAAGGAGACUUCUCAAAGAUAAAGAGUUUUCAUCUUUGAAGUUUUGGUCACCUUCUUCACACAUGCCUUGGAGUGACAGCUCUAACUCCUGGUGCUGGUAGCCCCAGGAUCCUGAGUUAUUCCUUGUGGUUUUCUUUCACCCUGCCCACACCUUUACAUUUAACUCAUGUACAAACUGUCUUCAAUUUAUCCUACUUUUGGAGUGCCGUCUGUUUCUCUCACUGCAAAACCAUAUCACAGUUACAAUUCUCUAGGAGGUUAUCCUUGGGUCAGCUGUCUAAUGCUGGUUCCCUUAACCCAUGUCCAGGAGAUAAGGACAUCACGCAAACGUGCUACCAAGCCCAACCCCUUCAGCAGAGGCUGAGUGGUGGUGGCUUGCCAAGGAGGACAUUUGCAGACACUUCAAAACAAGUGGUGUGCAAAUAGUACACCUUCAUAUUUUCUGGUAAAACUUUCCCUCUUUUCACUCCUCCUCAGCUAGAUGACUGAUGUUGUCUGCUGUUGCAUUUUUUUUUUCUUCUGGUGGAUUGCUUCACCACUGAGAGAGCUGACUAUUGCUUUCUACACGACUGUGUAUUGUGACCAGUGAAUAUUUCUAGUAAAACACCAUGCAGAAUCCAAGUUAUUACAUUUAAAGAUGAAAAUGUUUGUAAAAACAAUAAGAGAGAAACCAUAGAAAUAACCACAGAAUCAGAUUUUCACCACAUUACUUCUUAGGCGGAAAAAAAUCUUUGUACCAAACGAAUUCAUUAGAUAUGUCAUAGAGUAUUGCAUCCAAAGAACUAAUCACAAUUUACUCUUUCACAUUUUUUGAAGAUCGUUCAUAUUUGUUUUACUGGCAUUAGUUCACAGCAAAAGAUGCUACCUAAGCACCCAUCUGGAUGAGAAAUUAUUACUCCACACAUCCCAUCACUGUUAUUCAGUGUGAAAAGUGCCUCAUUCGCGGAAGUGAGGAGGGUUCAGUAAAUUGUCUAACCUAAGGUGUAACAAAGAUUGUGUGAAUAUCCAGGGACAGAAUCCAAACAUUCCAUUUUAAGAGCUUUUUUUUUUCUCUAAUUAUUGUUUCCUACUACACUACUAAGUCUUUGGUGAUAACACAUGUAUCCUUUUUCUUUUUUCAGGGAAAGGGGUACUAGACAUCAAUCAUAUUCCUCUCUCUGGAAAAAGACAAAGUGGAAGAAAAUAUCUAUUUUCACCCCACUUAGUUUUAAGUUGCAUGUUGUAUGUAAACUGUCAUUAAGUUUGAGUAUCAAGAUAUUUAUUUUUCAAAAUUAAUAUAUUCCUAAGGCCUAGUACUGCUGCCCUUCACCACACAUAGAAACCCACAUCAUCCCCUCCUCAAUAUCCCAUAUUACCAAUUUCAUGGCUUGGGAUAGAGAAAAGCUUAGAUUUACUAGGACUUCAUCAUGGGAUUCAAAGUGGCAGAGGGUUAUCUGUUUUUAAAAGUCAUAGGUUGAUCAAAUGGCCCCAGUUUCCCCUCUCUCUCAGCUCCCUGCCAAACCCAGCACACACACUUGCACAGCUAAAAUCAGGGAAAUAAGUGUGUUUAGAGAUCAGGCUAAAGCCUGAUUUUAUUUACCCAGAUUUCUAGCAGAUAUGUAGAUAGCAAUUUAUAUUUGUUUUAUCAUGUUUUUCCUAAACAAUGACUACAUACAAAAUAUCAUUAAAAUAGCACUAGAGCUUUGAGUAAAAUCCAUAAAGAUUUAAGACUGCACUGUCCAACAUGGCAGUCACUAGCCACAGGUGGCUAUCAAGCAGUUAUGUGGCAAGAGCAGCUUAGGAAAUGGAUUUAUUUCAUUUUAUUUUAAUUAAUUUGAUUUAAAUUUAAGAACUAAAGAAGGAUAAAGUAUUUUUCCACUAAACAUAACUUCAUUGUUUUUCUAGGACUAGAUUUUACUUAAUCAUUGCAUCCUGUAAGACACUGUAUUGUAGGAAGCUGUACUUUGUACUUUUAAAAAUGUGGCUAUUAGCAAAUGUAAAACUAUAUGUAUGAUUCACAUUAUAUUUCUACUUAAAAGCUCUGGUUGAAAAGCUCUUUAAGGCUAAAAUGCUAGUAUUUCUGUAUAUAGCUGUACCCAGAUAUAUGUAGCAUUAUCAGGGUAUAUGGGGAGACUUCUCUAGUACAUAGAGUAGGUAUUAGAAUUAGGGAAGAAUCCUGAAUUUACAAAUUCAGUUCUCCUCAUAUAAACUUGGUGACUGACUGUACAGUCCCACGUUACUUCAGUUAUUAAUAUAAGUUUAAAAUAAAAAAGGCUCCACAGCAAGAUAAUUUUAUUAUGACAGCUUGGAACUGAAAAGAUCAAAAUGCUUCCUUUGCUGUUUUCUUCAAACAUUCUUUUAUAAGAUGCAUCGAACCUCAGAAUGAAGAUGUCAUGCCUACAAAUCUAGCAAACUGUUCUAAGAAAUCGAAAAUGGAGUCUACUGAAUUAAAUUUCAAACCAAAUUAGGAACAUGGAAAAGACUCUAAAAUAUACAACAUUCUUUUCCUUCGAGCUAUUUUAGUCACAGCAGAAAAGAUCAGUGUAGUCUGUUCCAAGUAUAAAAUUUUAGAAAGAUCAAUACAUAGAUAUGCUCAAGUCAUUUCCAUGCAUGUGUCUUUGUUAGUUUGAUAAAAGUGAAAUAGAAUCUUCCAAACAUAAGGGACUGUCAGUGUAGUCUUAAAGAAAACCAAAUCCUUCAGUGGAAAACAGAAAUGGCCGGUUUCUCAGGACAGUACCAGAGAGAAGCUGGAGCUGUUUGUGGAAAGAGACAGUGACUUGAAAAUCACCACCAGAGUAUAGUGGAAAUCAAAAAGUAUGUUUUUCUUCCAAAUCAACCUAAUGAUUCUACAAAAUAAUAUAUAUAUAUAUCUUCAUUAUAAUGAGUUAUGAGUUAUAACAAUGAUUUGAGAUCUUCCCAUAUAAAUUUUAUGCCUCUUUGUUUUUCCCUAGACAGGACAAGAGACAAAAACUGGAAAGUUUGGGUCGUAUGGAUCAUGGCAGCACUGCAAUGUCUGGAAUUUUCUCAUAAAUAUCCUAUUGCUUUGAGGCUCACGGGCCUGACUAAAACAGCAGGGACAAUCUUUUUUGCACUUUUAUAGUUGUAGAGGGAUUUUCAAGAGUUAGAACAAUUUUCCAUAAUAUUCCAUAUUAAUUUAAUGAAUCUGAAGUGUGGUUAUUACACCUUUUCAUGCUUUCUGCAGGCUGAUGAUUUGGAAGUAACUAGAAAAACAAACAACAUUAUAAACAAAUGCCAACAGGAAGACAUUCUUGGGUACUCAAAAGAAUCUACUUUGCAACAAAAUUUUAUUGCCUGUUUGCAGCUUUAUGCCUUUUUAAGAUUAUUUUUUAAACACUAUAAAUGACUGUUUCUACCCUUGUGAAAAUUAUCACUUCAAAGGGACAUCUUUUAGCACUCUCUAUAAUGACCCAAACAAAUCUCAGAAAACAAAGUGGAUUCCACCCUUUUUUGUGAUUAAGCAAUAAAGAAUAUUGUAUCAGAUUCUAUUUGUACUUCAUUAAAAUAAAUUCUCAUUGUUUAUCAG
rnacentral:lncRNA from 1 species